rnacentral:rRNA from 1 species
UGGAGAGUUUGAUCCUGGCUCAGAUUGAACGCUGGCGGCAGGCCUAACACAUGCAAGUCGAACGGUAACAGAGAGCAGCUUGCUGCUCUGCUGACGAGUGGCGGACGGGUGAGUAAUGUCUGGGAAACUGCCUGAUGGAGGGGGAUAACUACUGGAAACGGUAGCUAAUACCGCAUAACGUCUACGGACCAAAGUGGGGGACCUUCGGGCCUCAUGCCAUCAGAUGUGCCCAGAUGGGAUUAGCUAGUAGGUGGGGUAACGGCUCACCUAGGCGACGAUCCCUAGCUGGUCUGAGAGGAUGACCAGCCACACUGGAACUGAGACACGGUCCAGACUCCUACGGGAGGCAGCAGUGGGGAAUAUUGCACAAUGGGCGCAAGCCUGAUGCAGCCAUGCCGCGUGUAUGAAGAAGGCCUUCGGGUUGUAAAGUACUUUCAGCGGGGAGGAAGGUGUUGUGGUUAAUAACCACAGCAAUUGACGUUACCCGCAGAAGAAGCACCGGCUAACUCCGUGCCAGCAGCCGCGGUA